rnacentral:rRNA from 1 species
GACGAACGCUGGCGGCGUGCUUAACACAUGCAAGUCGAACGGAAAGGCCCUGCUUUUGUGGGGUGCUCGAGUGGCGAACGGGUGAGUAACACGUGAGUAACCUGCCCUUGACUUUGGGAUAACUUCAGGAAACUGGGGCUAAUACCGUAUAGGAGCUCCUGCUGCAUGGUGGGGGUUGGAAAGUUUCGGCGGUUGGGGAUGGACUCGCGGCUUAUCAGCUUGUUGGUGGGGUAGUGGCUUACCAAGGCUUUGACGGGUAGCCGGCAUGAGAGGGUGACCGGCCACAUUGGGACUGAGAUACGGCCCAGACUCCUACGGGAGGCAGCAGUGGGGAAUAUUGCACAAUGGGAGGAAGCCUGAUGCAGCAACGCCGCGUGCGGGAUGACGGCCUUCGGGUUGUAAACCGCUUUCGCCUGUGACGAAGCGUGAGUGACGGUAAUGGGUAAAGAAGCACCGGCUAACUACGUG